UACGUAGGGGGCAAGCGUUGUCCGGAUUUAUUGGGCGUAAAGGGCGCGUAGGCGGCCUUCUAAGUCGAACGUGAAAUCCCCGGGCUCACCCGGGAACUGCGUCCGAUACUGGAAGGCUUGAAUCCGGGAGAGGGAUGCGGAAUUCCGGUGGUAGUGGUGGAAUGCGUAGAGAUCGAGGAGACAGCAGCGAGGCGAGCAGCCUGCGUGGGACGUGACUGC
rnacentral:rRNA from 1 species